GGGGAUGCAAUUGCAUCGACAGGAUUGGUACUUUAAAAACUGCAAGCCGGCGAGACUCACAGCCGUUAAACUAAGUCAAAAUAUAAAUGCUAACCCACGAGGUUUAGCGUUCGCUAGGGCAGCUUAAUACUGUUUUAAUGAACUGUUCACUAAGUCUUUUCUCAAUGGGACUUUUUGAGCAAAAAUACAGUUGAGAAAUUAAUAAGGAAGUUGAUUAGCUCCUUAUCGAAUUUAUAAUCUUGACUUUAUUUUUUCCUUUCGAUUGGACAAGAGUAAAGCGACUUUAAUAAUCGAAUAAGCUUGUAGAAAGUUUUUAAAAUGCUUUCUUGGACUCGAGAUUCAAAGCUCGACAUCUCCACAC
rnacentral:tmRNA from 1 species